GAUGAACGCUGGCGGCGCGCCUAACACAUGCAAGUCGAACGAUUAAAGCACCUUCGGGUGUGUAUAAAGUGGCGGACGGCUGAGUAACACGUGGGCAACCUGCCCCUCUCAUUGGGAUAGCCACGGGAAACCGUGGAUAAUACCGAAUACUUCGAGUCUCCCGCAUGGAAGACUCGAGAAAGCUCCGGCGGAGAGGGAUGGGCCCGCGGCCUGUUAGCUUGUUGGUGGGGUAACGGCCUACCAAGGCAAUGAUGGGUAGCUGGGUUGAGAGACCGACCAGCCAGAUUGGGACUGAGACACGGCCCAGACUCCUACGGGAGGCAGCAGUGGGGAAUCUUGCACAAUGGGCGAAAGCCUGAUGCAGCGACGCCGCGUGCGGGAUGAAGGCCUUCGGGUUGUAAACCGCUUUCAGCAGGGACGAGGCGAAAGUGACGGUACCUGCAGAAGAAGCCCCGGCUAACUACGUGCCAGCAGCCGCGGUAAUACGUAGGGGGCAAGCGUUAUCCGGAUUCAUUGGGCGUAAAGCGCUCGUAGGCGGUCUGUUAGGUCGGGAGUUAAAUCCGGGGGCUCAACCCCCGUUCGCUCCCGAUACCGGCAGACUUGAGUUUGGUAGGGGAAGGUGGAAUUCCUAGUGUAGCGGUGGAAUGCGCAGAUAUUAGGAAGAACACCAGUGGCGAAGGCGGCCUUCUGGGCCAUAACUGACGCUGAGGACGAAAGCUAGGGGAGCAACAGG
rnacentral:rRNA from 1 species